rnacentral:rRNA from 1 species
AUUGAACGCUGGCGGCAGGCCUAACACAUGCAAGUCGAACGAGUGGCGGACGGGUGAGUAAUGUCUGGGAAACUGCCUGAUGGAGGGGGAUAACUACUGGAAACGGUAGCUAAUACCGCAUACCAUCAGAUGUGCCCAGAUGGGAUUAGCUUGUUGGUGGGGUAACGGCUCACCAAGGCGACGAUCCCUAGCUGGGCUGAGAGGAUGACCAGCCACACGGGAACUGAGACACGGUCCAGACUCCUCGGGGAGGCAGUGGUGGGGAAUAUUGCACAAUGGGAGAAAGCCUGCUGCAGGCAUGCCGCGUGUAUGAAGAAGGCCUUCGGGUUGUAAAGUACUUUCAGCGGGGAGGCGUUACCCGCAGAAGAAGCACCGGCUAAAGCCGUGCCAGCAGCCGCGGUAAUAC